CAUGUCAUAUUCAUACUUACGUAACAACGUUUGCAUAAUUCAAUAUGUACUAAUUAAUGAAGUUUUCUUUUGUUUUUCAAUUACAGUGAUUUGCAAGGAGUAAGAACAAAUGCCAAAAAGGAUGGAAGUGACUGGAUUCUUAAUGGAAGCAAGGUAUUCAUCACUAAUGGGUGGCUAAGUGAUGUUGUAAUCGUAGUGGCAGUCACAAAUCGUGAAGCUCGCUCUCCUGCCCAUGGCAUUAGCCUUUUCCUGGUGGAAAAUGGAAUGAAAGGAUUUAUCAAGGGGCGAAAGCUACAUAAAAUGGGACUAAAAGCCCAGGAUACCGCAGAAUUAUUCUUUGAAGAUGUACGGUUACCAGCUAGUGCCCUACUUGGAGAAGA